rnacentral:misc_RNA from 1 species
GAAAUAGAAGAGUAUACUACCAAACAAGGAAUUACAUGAAAGAGGGAAAUAACAGCAGCCACACUUACAAUAUUAUAAAAUCAAUGCUUUUAAAAAGAAAUUACAAAAUCAACUCAACUCUUACGAAUAUAGCUCAAACGCACAUUUAUGUAUAGAGUAGUAAUUAUGUAACUCUUCAUGUGCAAGACGCUUCACAUGCUAUAACAACUAAACUCUUCACUUACUAGACUUUUCACAUACUAUAACAUUAAUUAGACUCUUCACACAAAUCAUGCAUUAACUCAAGCACAAAUAUCUAUAUUUAUUUAUGUUUAAAUUUAUAUUUCCAACAUCAUCUUCAUAUGAUUAUGAUAUAAUUCAACCUUAAUUAAUUACAUAAAUUUUGCUCAAAAGAGAGAGAAUUGCAUGUCCAGAAUUUCUAUGUGCAACCAAUUGAUGCACACAUGCAGCGAUCCGAAAGACAUUCAAGACAAAGAAAUUAAUUCAUAGAAAUUCUUGCUUUGUCAAGAUGACAUCUUCAUAAUGCCAAAUGUUUAAUUACAUUACAGUAAUCAAAGGAUUGAGAGGAAGGCAAAUGCCUAAGUU